GCAAGUCGAACGAAACUCUUAGGAGUUGAGUGGCGGACGGGUGAGUAACGCGUGAGAAUCUGCCUUUAUGGUGGGGAUAACAUUGGGAAACCAAUGCUAAGACCCGAUGUGCCCUACGGGGUGAAAAGUGAAAACUGCCUGAAGAGGAGCUCGCGUCUGAUUAGCUAGAUGGAGAGGUAAAAGCUCACCAUGGCGACGAUCAGUAACUGGUCUGAGAGGAUGAGC
rnacentral:rRNA from 1 species